rnacentral:rRNA from 1 species
UACGGAGGGUGCAAACGUUGCUCGGAAUCAUUGGGCGUAAAGCGCACGUAGGCGGCCUGAUAAGUCGGGUGUGAAAGCCCUGGGCUCAACCCAGGAAGUACACUCGAAACUGUCAGGCUUGAAUAUGGAAGAGGGUCGCGGAAUUCCCGGUGUAGAGGUGAAAUUCGUAGAUAUCGGGAGGAACACCAGUGGCGAAGGCGGCGACCUGGGCCAAUAUUGACGCUGAGGUGCGAAAGCGUGGGGAGCAAACAGG